rnacentral:misc_RNA from 1 species
GAUGAAGAACGUAGCGAAAUGCGAUACUUGGUGUGAAUUGCAGAAUCCCGUGAACCAUCGAGUCUUUGAACGCAAGUUGCGCCCGAAGCCAUUAGGCCGAGGGCACGCCUGCCUGGGCGUCACACGUCGUUGCCCCCCCAUCUACUCCUUCGGGAUUGCGGGGGGCGGAUGAUGGCCUCUCGUGCGCCUCGUCGCGCGGUUGGCCUAAAUGCCAAGUCCUCGGCGACGCACGCCACGACAAUCGGUGGUUGCGAAACCUCGGUUGCCUGUCGUGUGCGGUCGUCGCGCAUCGAGGGCUCGAAAAAAUUGCCGGGCUUCGGCUCGACUUUCAACGCGACCCCAGGUCAGGCGGGGUUACCCGCUGAAUUUAAGCAUAUCAAGCGGAGGA